rnacentral:ncRNA from 2 species
CCAAUAGCGUAUAUUAAAGUUGUUGCAGUUAAAAAGCUCGUAGUUGAAUUUCGGGGUUAGUAGGUUGGUCAUGCCUCUGGUAUGUACUGGUCUCACUGAUUCCUCCUUCCUGAUGAAUCUUAAUGCCAUUAAUUUGGUGUUUUGGGGAAUUUGGACUGUUACUUUGAAAAAAUUAGAGUGUUUAAAGCAAGCUAACGCUUGAAUACAUUAGCAUGGAAUAAUGAAAUAGGACGUUCGAUCCUAUUUUGUUGGUUUCUAGGAUUGACGUAAUGAUUAAUAGGGAUAGUUGGGGGCAUUAGUAUUCAAUUGUCAGAGGUGAAAUUCUUGGAUUUAUUGAAGACUAACUACUGCGAAAGCAUUUGCCAAGGAUGUUUUCAUUAAUCAAGAACGAAAGUUAGGGGAUCGAAGACGAUCAGAUACCGUCGUAGUCUUAACCAUAAACUAUGCCGACUAGGGAUCGGAUGAUGUUAAUUUUUUAAUGACUCAUUCGGCGCCUUACG